rnacentral:lncRNA from 1 species
GUGGGUUCUGGUGCUGAUUUUAACCUGAGGGAGCACAAUGGAGGUAAGCCAAGCUUAACAUUCAUUUCUGUUUCAUGUCCACAAAACCUAGAGGAUAUUUGGUCAAAGUAAAAAUUUAACUUUUUCUCAAAGGUCCUUUUCUCUCAUAAUCACAUUUUCAGACUUUCGUGCUUCUUCAGAGCCCAAGUCUGCAUUCAGCAAGUACGAUUUUACCACAUGUGCGUAUGUGCUGCCUUCGCAGCCAGCUGCCCAGGGACAGUGAAAGACUUUAUGCCCAUCUCCAGGGUGGGAAAGGGUUCUAACAGCAGCCGUCACAUGAUAGAAGCUGGAACUUCUUGCUGUCUUCAUCCUAUGGACCUACUUCUGCUCUUGUCUGGCUUCUCCUUAAUGAUGAAUUACACACA